rnacentral:rRNA from 1 species
CUACGGGGCGCAGCAGUGGGGAAUAUUGCACAAUGGGCGCAAGCCUGAUGCAGCCAUGCCGCGUGUAUGAAGAAGGCCUUCGGGUUGUAAAGUACUUUCAGCGGGGAGGAAGGGAGUAAAGUUAAUACCUUUGCUCAUUGACGUUACCCGCAGAAGAAGCACCGGCUAACUCCGUGCCAGCAGCCGCGGUAAUACGGAGGGUGCAAGCGUUAAUCGGAAUUACUGGGCGUAAAGCGCACGCAGGCGGUUUGUUAAGUCAGAGGUGAAAUCCCCGGGCUCAACCUGGGAACUGCAUCUGAUACUGGCAAGCUUGAGUCUCGUAGAGGGGGGUAGAAUUCCAGGUGUAGCGGUGAAAUGCGUAGAGAUCUGGAGGAAUACCGGUGGCGAAGGCGGCCCCCUGGACGAAGACUGACGCUCAGGUGCGAAAGCGUGGGGAGCAAACAGGAUUAGAUACCCCCGUAGUC